AGCGAACGCUGGCGGCAGGCUUAACACAUGCAAGUCGAACGCCCCGCAAGGGGAGUGGCAGACGGGUGAGUAACACGUGGGAACGUACCCUUUGGUUCGGAAUAACUUGGGGAAACUCAAGCUAAUACCGGAUACGCCCUGCUGGGGAAAGGUUUACUGCCGAAGGAUCGGCCCGCGUCUGAUUAGCUAGUUGGUGAGGUAAUGGCUCACCAAGGCGACGAUCAGUAGCUGGUCUGAGAGGAUGAUCAGCCACACUGGGACUGAGACACGGCCCAGACUCCUACGGGAGGCAGCAGUGGGGAAUAUUGGACAAUGGGGGCAACCCUGAUCCAGCCAUGCCGCGUGAGUGAUGAAGGCCUUAGGGUUGUAAAGCUCUUUUACCCGGGACGAUAAUGACUGUACCGGGAGAACAAGCCCCGGCUAACUUCGUGCCAGCAGCCGCCGUAA
rnacentral:rRNA from 1 species